GUGGGGAAUCUUGCGCAAUGGGCGAAAGCCUGACGCAGCCAUGCCGCGUGAAUGAUGAAGGUCUUAGGAUUGUAAAAUUCUUUCACCGGGGACGAUAAUGACGGUACCCGGAGAAGAAGCCCCGGCUAACUUCGUGCCAGCAGCCGCGGUAAUACGAAGGGGGCUAGCGUUGCUCGGAAUUACUGGGCGUAAAGGGCGCGUAGGCGGAUCGUUAAGUCAGGGGUGAAAUCCCAGAGCUCAACUCUGGAACUGCCCUUGAUACUGGCGAUCUUGAGUGUGAGAGAGGUAUGUGGAACUCCGAGUGUAGAGGUGAAAUUCGUAGAUAUUCGGAAGAACACCAGUGGCGAAGGCGACAUACUGGCUCAUUACUGACGCUGAGGCGCGAAAGCGUGGGGAGCAAACAGGAUUAGAACCCGAGUAGUCC
rnacentral:rRNA from 1 species